CAGUUAGAAUCUACGGCCCCGACCAUGACUCUGAAAUAUCAGUAAGUUAGAAUCUACGGCCCCGACCAUGGCUCUGAAAUAUCAGUAAAUUAGAAUCUAUGGCCCCGACCAUGGCUCUGAAAUAUCAGUUAGUUAGAAUCUACGGCCCUGACCAUGGUUCUGAAAUAUCAGUAAGUUAGAAUCUACGGCCCUGACCAUGGUUCUGAAA